CCCUUAGAGUUUGAUCCUGGCUCAGGAUGAACGCUAGCUACAGGCUUAACACAUGCAAGUCGAGGGGCAGCAUUUUAGUUUGCUUGCAAACUAAAGAUGGCGACCGGCGCACGGGUGAGUAACACGUAUCCAACCUGCCGAUAACUCAGGGAUAGCCUUUCGAAAGAAAGAUUAAUACCUGAUGGCAUAGGAUUAUCGCAUGAUAAUCCUAUUAAAGAAUUUCGGUUAUCGAUGGGGAUGCGUUCCAUUAGGCAGUUGGUGAGGUAACGGCUCACCAAACCUUCGAUGGAUAGGGGUUCUGAGAGGAAGGUCCCCCACAUUGGAACUGAGACACGGUCCAAACUCCUACGGGAGGCAGCAGUGAGGAAUAUUGGUCAAUGGACGGGAGUCUGAACCAGCCAAGUAGCGUGAAGGAUGACUGCCCUAUGGGUUGUAAACUUCUUUUAUACGGGAAUAAAGUGAUCCACGUGUGGAU
rnacentral:rRNA from 1 species